UGUAUCUCUAUAGGAUAAAUUUGCAUUGGAUGUUGCCUGAUUGGAAUUAAAGGUAAUUGUUUAGUCUUCAUACUUAUAAAACUCAUUAGCUUAAGACACUGAUUAUUUUUUCUUAUAAUCCCAGCUAGACUUUUAUUAGCAAAUAGAAAUCUUGGCUGUUAUGUUACAGAAUUAUGUUUAAUAGAAAGCAUGUUACUUAGGAGUCAUUCAGAGUUCUUUUAUUUAUAACAUGCAAAAUAACAUGCUCAUGGUACCUUUCUUUUAUAUGAAUAGCAAACUAUGAAUCAUUAAAUAGUGCAUUCAUUUUAUGCUUAGCUUCCUGAUUAGUAAUUAAUUGAUAUGUAAUCCAAACUUUAUCAUUUUUUUUAUCUUACAAUAGAAUCAGAGUCUUGAGUUUUCUUAAAGUUGUUAGUAUGUAAAUUUCCUGAUUGUAAUCAGCUUCGUUAUGAAUGUAUUGCCAAGUCCUGUCUUAAAUAGACAAACAUGAAUUUGUUGCCAAGUGAGAGCUUUUUUAAAUAAAGUGAGAUAAAGUGGUAUCUUCUAAAUUGAUAAAUAUGGAGUUCCAUGGGUAGUUGUGAAUGACCUUUUCUCCUUUAUAGUAUUUUUAAAAAGAAACGUCAAGCAUAAUUUAUAUAUCUUGUCUAAUUGUUUUUAUCUCCAAAUAUGUAGCUUGCAAGUUUUAUUGAUAAAAAACAUCAGUUGAAUCAAGAGUAUCCCAGGUACUGUAUAUUUAUAUACACGAUUCAUUAAGUUUCUUGACAUUCAAGUGGAAGAUACUUGCUAUUCUAUGGAGGGAUAAAGCACUUCAAUCUAGAUUUUUCAUUAAGACUCCUAGGAUAGAAUCCAAGUAGAUAUUUGAAACAACUGCGGGUUUUUGGAAGUUCAACUGCUAUUUUGAAGUCAAUAUGAUUCAUCUUUUAUUUAUUUUAUGAUACCUUCUGUCUCUACAAAUUUGCAAAGUUAAGUAUGAAUAUUUGUUGUGUUAUAUCCCGUAUUUUCGUACGAUGAAUUAUUCAUAAGCUGAGGCGGGGUUCACAUGUCGAGAUUUUUUUUUUAGAACAUAUGAAAAGUUAUAUGAAUAAUAUAUGCGAAGUUAAACACAACCCAAGAAGGACCCUUGAGCCAAAUCAAAGUGAAAGCCCUCCAAAAUAAUAUUUUUAAGAUACGUUUUCGGGUGAUUUGAUUUCGGGAGGUCAUAACCUUAUCGUCCUUUGGGAAUUUGGGAAAACUCCCAGAAUGAAAGUUGUAGAUAAUUGAAAUAGCUUUCCAACCAUAGGUCGUGAGUCUUCAUGUGACAUCGGGAUAAGGAGAUAUGGACAUUUUAAGGCAGAAAGGUCAAGCUGGGCAAUGAAUUCGGCCCAACCCGAUUCCAAGUCGGGUCAGCCCAUUUUCUUUGCCAUUUAAUGAAAAAAUUCGGCCUUCUCUUCAUUUUCAUACCUCAAAAAAACCCAGAAAUUUCAGAGGUAGAGAGAGAGAGGAGAGAUAGAGAAAGAAACCAAAUUUUGACCACAAUCUAAGCCCCGAAUCGCGAAGCUCCUGAAGAGAAAAGUGUUGUACGUCGCGUUGCCUUCAAUUUGAGCUAAAAAUCAGCCAAGAAAGAGAGGGUGGAAGUGGUUGCUGCAUAAUUAAGGUAACGACGUGACAUUGGAGGAGAGCAAGUGAACGAUAACAUAGCUAAACGACAAAGGUAGACAGGAAGGUGAGCUUGGUCCAGACCCUUAGUAGCUGUCAACUGAUCGAGAGCACUCCAUUGUCCGGAGGUGCUUAUGGUUCUUCUUUUGGUAUAUAUGCAUAUUUUGGGCAUGACGGAGUCUUGUUCCGUCUAUAUGUUUAGUAUGUCAGUAGAGGCUCGUAGAUACGCAGUGUGGGUCAGAUGGUCUCGCAAGAUGUUAUUAUUAUGUAUAUGU